rnacentral:rRNA from 1 species
UUGGAGGGCAAGUCUGGUGCCAGCAGCCGCGGUAAUUCCAGCUCCAAUAGCGUAUAUUAAAGUUGUUGCAGUUAAAAAGCUCGUAGUUGAAUUUCGGGGUCAGUAGGUUGGUCAUGCCACUGGUAUGUACUGGUCUCACUGAUUCCUCCUUCCUGAUGAACUGUAAUGCCAUUAAUUUGGUGUUGCAGGGAAUCUGGACCUUUACCUUGAAAAAAUUAGAGUGUUCAAAGCAGGCUUACGUCUGAAUACAUUAGCAUGGAAUAAUAAAAUAGGACGGUGGUCCUGUUUUGUUGGUUUCUGAAUCACCGUAAUGAUUAAUAGGGAUAGUUGGGGGCAUUAGUAUUCAAUUGUCAGAGGUGAAAUUCUUGGAUUUAUUGAAGACUAACUUCUGCGAAAGCAUUUGCCAAGGAUGUUUUCAUUAAUCAAGAACGAAAGUUAGGGGAUCGAAGACGAUCAGAUACCGUCGUAGUCUUAACCAUAAACUAUGCCGACUAGGGAUCGGACGAUGUUAAAUUUUAUUGACUCGUUCGGCGCCUUACGGGAAAC